GGAAUAUUAUCAGAGCCAUCAGAGAGGGCGUACUAUGCAGAGUUAUUCAGCUACAUCAAACACGCAAGAUGAAGAGGCCCCUUCGUUCAAGGCCACAAAAUAGUAGAAGCUCUAAUCUAAAGAGGAAGACGAAGCAAGCGACGACGAGAGUCGGCGAAGGCCAACGGAAAAGUAGUCCCUCCUCCGACGAUCCCCCCAACCGCAAGUACUGGUGAUAUGUUUUCUCCAAGGACAUAGCUUGGGAGAAUUUAGGAGCUGGAGGCUCUACUUUGUUAUUAUGUGUUUAAAUGUUUAUUCUAGCCAAGGGCUUUUUAUGUAUUGAGCUUAUGACUCUCUCUUUUGUUGUAACCAAGUAAUAUCUUGGAAAGAUGUAAGCCCGAAGGGCAUUUGUUUAUGUUGAACCCUCUUGUAUUAUCAACUUCGCAUAAUGAAAUGAUUACUCACACUCUGAUUCAUGUAA